rnacentral:rRNA from 1 species
GACGAACGCUGGCGGCGUGCCUAAUACAUGCAAGUCGAGCGCAGGAAGCCGUCUGAACCCUUCGGGGGGACGACGGUGGAAUGAGCGGCGGACAGGUGAGUAACACGUAAAGAACCUGCCCAUAGGUCUGGGAUAACCACGAGAAAUCGGGGCUAACACCGGAUGUGUCAUCGGACCGCAUGGUCCGCUGAUGAAAGGCGCCCCGGCGUCGCCCAUGGAUGGCUUUGCGGUGCAUUAGCUAGUUGGGGGGGUAACGGCCCACCAAGGCGACGAUGCAUAGCCGACCUGAGAGGGUGAUCGGCCACACUGGGACUGAGACACGGCCCAGACUCCUACGGGAGGCAGCAGUAGGGAAUCUUCCACAAUGGACGAAAGUCUGAUGGAGCAACGCCGCGUGAACGAUGAAGGCUUUCGGGUCGUAAAGUUCUGUUGUAAGGGAAGAACAAGUGCCGCAGGCAAUGGCGGCACCUUGACGGUACCUUGCGAGAAAGCCACGGCUAACUACGUGCCAGCCGCCGCUGUAA